rnacentral:rRNA from 1 species
AAAUGAAUAGACGGGGGCCCGCACAAGCGGUGGAGCAUGUGGUUUAAUUCGAAGCAACGCGAAGAACCUUACCAGGUCUUGACAUCCCUUGACAGCCUCAGAGAUGAGGUAUCUCUUCGGAGCAAGGAGACAGGUGGUGCAUGGUUGUCGUCAGCUCGUGUCGUGAGAUGUUGGGUUAAGUCCCGCAACGAGCGCAACCCUUGCCUUUAGUUGCCAUCAUUAAGUUGGGGACUCUAGAGGGACUGCCGGUGACAAAUCGGAGGAAGGUGGGGAUGACGUCAAAUCAUCAUGCCCCUUAUGACCUGGGCUACACACGUGCUACAAUGGUCUGUACAGAGGGAAGCGAAAGGGCGACCUGGAGCGAAUCCCAGAAAGCAGAUCUCAGUUCGGAUUGUAGGCUGCAACUCGCCUACAUGAAGUCGGAAUCGCUAGUAAUCGCAGGUCAGCAUACUGCGGUGAAUACGUUCCCGGGCCUUGUACACACCGCCCGU